CACAGCUUUCUGGGAGUUGUAGGCCGAGGACUCCUCGUCCCGGAGGCUUCGGACGCUAAGAAGGACGUUUCUGCUCCGCUAGUCCUUACCAGGAGUCUCCUGACUCGGCCCGGGGAGCGCUUUGCCACAACUCGAGAUCUGGGACCUGUAUCUCCACAAUUUCCGGAAAUGGGUUCUUCUGUUAUUUGUAUUUAAUGAACAUGUCAACUUGCCGGAUUCAUCGUGACACUUGAUUUGGAAGAGACCCUUUGGCUGGAAUGCAUUCGCCCCAGCUGUCUCCAUGGCUUUUCCAUGUCUGAAGACAGAGGCUGUUGUCUGUGAUAUUCUCUGUGUAUUCACAGUAGCUAGAUGCAUGCCUGGCCCAGAACUGGAGCCCCGUAACUAUGUAUUAAAUGGACAUAUGAGAAAAUUGAGGCCCGGCUAGGAUUCUGUGGGACGGUGUGUUUUUUUGUUAGAGUCCGUCCACUUUUCGGGUUUUUUUUUCUUUUCCCUUCCUUCAGAAGAGCUGUUCCAAAUGGUAAGCAAUGGCCACUAUUUCAAUCUAUGAAUGUCCUACAGUUCAUCUGAAAGUGAAUUGUGUAGGUCUAACCAAGCUCCAACUUCACCCUUCACCAUCAAGAACUACUCCCUAAUGAAUAAUGUACUCCAGAUUGGAAAGUCCUCAAGUGAAAUGCAUGCGAUUAGGUGUACUUGAGGCGGGACAAGAACGAACGUAUCAGCUGGCCGCCGGGGACAGUUUUGCCAGCUGGAAAAGGCUUCACCUCAGCAGCUGACACCCAAGAUCUUGAAGGCUUAGAGGCAGUCCCCUGAAGGGCUGUUGGGGACACACCAAGGUGGUGUCGUUUGAGCCAGUCGGAAGCAGCUUGCGUUUCCGCUGCCAGCGCCUUUGUGAACCAGGGGAGUGGCCGUGAUGAAAAGCGGCCCGCGUGUAGCUGAGGAAGCGUUGUGGUCUCCUCCAGGGAGAAGAGCUGUCCUCACGGGGAGCUGCUCAUGAGCAGCUAAGCCGCAAGCUCCCGACUGAAGUGAAAGAGAAGAUAAGACAAAGUUUAGGAGGAGCCUGGAGCUCGGGCACAGAGUAGGACAGUCUGAAUUAGAGCAGCCCGUCGGAUGUGCGGAGACUUCACCAGCCGGAGGGAGAUUGGGAGUCAUGUUUCAUCAGGAGAACCAAAGCAUACCACAUACGCCGUCGAGCAGAAGUUUUAUGAUGCAGUGGUGAGCCACGCACGCCCCUUCCCCCAGUUAAUGCACACACGGAGGCCACUGUGCACUUACAUCUUCAAAGAGCCUGGGUAGAGCUGGGAGCCAAUACUUCCACUUGAAGUUUGACUUGGUUGGUCAAAUGUGUUAAUAUUUGCAAAAUGUUUUAACCUUUGGCAUCUAAAUUGGAACUUCCCCAGAUGUCUGUGGUGUGUACCAUAUUUGGUCUUUGCACUUUAGCAGAUAUGAUCCACCUGUUUUCUAAUGCAUCUGCCAUGUGCCCAAGGGCAAGGCCAGAGGAUGACCCUGGGUUGGGAGUGUUUACGCUCUCGCAGUUUGCUCUCUCAAUUUGGUUCAGCGUUGGUCUCCUCUUGCAGAAGGCCUAUGAGAACCAAGCUAGAAAUACAACAAGGAAGUGUUAUGAACGUCCCCUGAAAAUUUCCCCUUUGGCAAUUAAAUUGUCUAUUAACGACUACCAGUGCAAGUUUUGGCACGUCCCAUAACCCGAGGAUAGCCAGUUACCCACACUUCCGCCUGGGCCUCUGGGUCUUCAUCUAAAACGUGAAGGGACCAGGAAAGAUGAUUUUGAGGUCCUCUACCUCCAAGAUUUAGAAUUGGAUACUUCCUGAAUAGUAAAAAUUGGAUUUUUUUGAUACUAGA